CGCGCGUCCCGCCCCACUGUCCUCGGCUGCCAGUCCCCUGCCUUAGGAUAAAGCCUGCCAGGUCCGCUGAGCAGACCAGAGCUGCUGGGAGUGGCAGAGCUCUCCACCCCAAGCCAGACCAUGGCUGAUCCUGGGAAGCAACUACCAGAGGAGGUGCUGGUUUUUAUUUUCUGCCACUUGCCCCUGAAGGACCGUGCCAUGGCUGCCCAGGUUUGCAAGUCCUGGGCUGCGGCUGCCACCUGCAGCUCCGUAUGGCAUGACACGAGCAUCAGCUUUGACGAUGAGUGGGAAGGCACGCUGCCACCAUAUCUGUCCACCUGCCUGGACCACGUUCAAAACCUACGGCUGGAAUUUGAGCCUUCGGGAGAACGGAGUCGCAGGGCGGCCACUGAGCUGCUGGUGGCACUGG